rnacentral:rRNA from 1 species
UACGUAGGGGGCGAGCGUUGUCCGGAUUUAUUGGGCGUAAAGAGCUCGUAGGCGGUUUGGUAAGUCGGGUGUGAAAUCUCCACGCUCAACGUGGAGGGGCCACUCGAUACUGCCAUGACUCGAGUCCGGUAGAGGAGUGUGGAAUUCCCGGUGUAGCGGUGAAAUGCGCAGAUAUCGGGAUGAACACCCGUAGCGAAGGCGGCACUCUGGGCCGGAACUGACGCUGAGGAGCGAAAGCGUGGGGAGCAAACAGG